ACUCCUACGGGAGGCAGCAGUGGGGAAUAUUGCACAAUGGGCGCAAGCCUGAUGCAGCCAUGCCGCGUGUAUGAAGAAGGCCUUCGGGUUGUAAAGUACUUUCAGCAGUGAGGAAGGUGGGUAUGUUAAUAGCAUAUUCAUUUGACGUUAGCUGUAGAAGAAGCACCGGCUAACUACGUGCCAGCAGCCGCGGUAAUACGUAGGGUGCGAGCGUUAUCCGGAAUUAUUGGGCGUAAAGAGCUCGUAGGCGGUUUGUCGCGUCUGUCGUGAAAGUCCGGGGCUUAACCCCGGAUCUGCGGUGGGUACGGGCAGACUAGAGUGCAGUAGGGGAGACUGGAAUUCCUGGUGUAGCGGUGGAAUGCGCAGAUAUCAGGAGGAACACCGAUGGCGAAGGCAGGUCUCUGGGCUGUAACUGACGCUGAGGAGCGAAAGCAUGGGGAGCGAACAGGAUUAGAUACCCUGGUAGGAUAGCGU
rnacentral:rRNA from 1 species